rnacentral:rRNA from 1 species
UACAGAGGGUGCAAGCGUUGUUCGGAAUCAUUGGGCGUAAAGGGCGUGUAGGCGGUCUGUUAAGUCAUGUGUGAAAUCCCUCGGCUCAACCGGGGAACGACGCAUGAAACUGACAAGCUAGAGUACCAAAGAGGGGGGUGGAAUUCCUGGUGUAGCGGUGAAAUGCGCAGAUAUCAGGAGGAACACCAAUGGCGAAGGCAGCUCGCUGGAACGGUACUGACGCUGAGGCGCGAAAGUGUGGGGAGCGAACAGG